rnacentral:rRNA from 1 species
CCGGACUCAGAUCACGUAAAGUUCUAAAGGUCGAACAGACCUAAUUUAACAGCUUCUGCACCGUUAAUAAACUUUAAUCCAACACGAGGUCGCAAACUUUUUUAUCAAUAAGAACUUUCAAAAAAAAUUACGCUGUUAUCCCUAAGGUAAUUUAAUCUUAUAAUCUUAAAAGGAUCAUUAAAUCACUAAUUAGUGUAAAAAUAAAGAAAAGUUAAAAAAAUUUUCCCAUCACCCCAACAAAACAUAUCAAAAAAUUAAACCUAAUAAAAUCAUAAAAAAAGAACUUUAAAUAUGUAAAACUCUAUAGGGUCUUCUCGUCUUCUUAAAAAAUCUAAGCUUUUUCACUUAAAAAUAAAAUUCUAAAACAAUUAAAUUGAGACAGUAAAUUUUUCAUCAAACCAUUCAUUCCAGCUUCUAAUUAAGAAACUAAUGAUUAUGCUACCUUUGUACAGUUAAAAUACUGCAGCCAUUUAAUAAUAAUCAUUGGGCAGGUCAGACCUUAA